rnacentral:rRNA from 1 species
GAUGAACGCUAGCGGCAGGCUUAACACAUGCAAGUCGAGGGGUAUAGGUUUUCGGACCUAGAGACCGGCGCACGGGUGCGUAACGCGUAUGCAAUCUGCCUUGUACUGGGGGAUAGCCCAGAGAAAUUUGGAUUAAUACCCCAUAGUAUAACGAAAUCGCAUGGUUUUGUUAUUAAAGUUCCAACGGUACAAGAUGAGCAUGCGUCCUAUUAGCUAGUUGGUGUGGUAACGGCAUACCAAGGCAACGAUAGGUAGGGGUCCUGAGAGGGAGAUCCCCCACACUGGUACUGAGACACGGACCAGACUCCUACGGGAGGCAGCAGUGAGGAAUAUUGGUCAAUGGGCGCAAGCCUGAACCAGCCAUGCCGCGUGCAGGAAGACGGUCCUAUGGAUUGUAAACUGCUUUUGUACGGGAAGAAACACUCCUACGUGUAGGGGCUUGACGGUACCGUAAGAAUAAGGAUCGGCUAACUCCGUGCCAGCAGCCGCAGUAAUAC